rnacentral:rRNA from 1 species
GCUACCAUGCAGUCGAGCGGUACAGAAAGAAAGCUUGCUUUCUUUGCUGACGAGCGGCGGACGGGUGAGUAAUGCCUGGGAAUAUGCCUUAGUGUGGGGGAUAACUAUUGGAAACGAUAGCUAAUACCGCAUAACGUCUUCGGACCAAAGAGGGGGACCUUCGGGCCUCUCGCGCUAAGAUUAGCCCAGGUGGGAUUAGCUAGUUGGUGAGGUAAAGGCUCACCAAGGCAACGAUCCCUAGCUGGUCUGAGAGGAUGAUCAGCCACACUGGAACUGAGACACGGUCCAGACUCCUACGGGAGGCAGCAGUGGGGAAUAUUGCACAAUGGGGGAAACCCUGAUGCAGCCAUGCCGCGUGUAUGAAGAAGGCCUUCGGGUUGUAAAGUACUUUCAGUCGUGAGGAAGGCAUUGUAGUUAAUAGCUGCAGUGCUUGACGUUAGCGACAGAAGAAGCACCGGCUAACUCCGUGCCAGCAGCCGCGGUAAUACGGAGGGUGCGAGCGUUAAUCGGAAUUACUGGGCGUAAAGCGUACGCAGGCGGUUUGUUAAGCGAGAUGUGAAAGCCCCGGGCUCAACCUGGGAACUGCAUUUCGAACUGGCAAACUAGAGUGUGAUAGAGGGUGGUAGAAUUUCAGGUGUAGCGGUGAAAUGCGUAGAGAUCUGAAGGAAUACCGAUGGCGAAGGCAGCCCCCUGGGUCAACACUGACGCUCAUGUACGAAAGCGUGGGGGAGCAAACAGGAUUAGAUACCCUGGUAGUCCACGCCGUAAACGAUGUCUACUGCUACCAUGCGCUACCAUGCGCUACCAUGCGCUACCAUGCUAAGUAGAC